rnacentral:lncRNA from 1 species
GACCAAUAUCGACCACACACGCACCCGCCCAUCCAACAAUAUAACCACAACAGUCUCAUUUGCACUAUAUCACACAGUAAGUAUAGUGCACCGCAAAUGUAAUUACAUUUGUACUAGACUACAUAGCAAGUCCAGUGCACAUUACCAAUAAUCGCAUAUGUACCAUACCUCACAGUAACUACAAUGCACAUUAACAUCAAUAUCUUUUCCAUCUACGUGAUAGAGUUCACCGUUAACCACAUCAAUUAAGUCUUG